rnacentral:lncRNA from 1 species
ACGCUGCGCGGUGACCUGCCGCCCGGCCCUUCCCGGCGGCCUCCUCCGCUCCGUCCGCGCCCCCCGCCGCCUCCAUCCCCCGACCUCGCCCCUCCUGACGCCUUCCCCAACCAGCGGCCGCCCCGCCCCCCACGGCGGCUUUGCUCGGGGCCUUCCGCCGGCCCCCGCCUGCCUCUCUCCCCGCGCGCUCCGCACCCGGCGCCCCCUAGGGCCGCUCCGACGCCUCUGCGCCCACCGCCCGGGCUCCCACUCACUCGGCUCGGACUCGGGGCAGGUGCGCCUCGCGGACGCCGGACCCGGGAGCCCGAAGCGGCCGGGCCGGAAGUGGCCGCCCCGAACUUCCGCCGCGGCCUCCAGCUCGCCACCAAUCGGAUGCCCGGCUCCGGCGGCCGCUCUAGCCGCGCAGAGGACUCUGUGCUCCGGAUCCCGGGUCCCGGGUCCUGGCUCCCGGGUCCGACUCUGGGGCCGGAAGUAGGCGGCUCCGCGGGGUGGGCCCGCUACAAUCGGAUGCCCGGCUCCGGCGGCCGCUCUAGCUGCUCAGAGGACUCUGUGCUCCGGGUCCCGGGUCGGACUCGGGCCGGAAGUAGGCGGCUCCGCGGGGUGGGCCCGCUGCAAUCGGAAACUCCUGAAGAAAGGAGAAGGAGCGGAGAAGGAAUAGGAGAGGAUGCAGGAAGCACCACAGGCUACCUGCUGGGCUGCAGCCCUGACUGCCUCCCUGCCUGAGAUGCAUCCCUUGCUGGGGUGCUGAAAUCUAUAUCUGCCCCAUUCGAUCCACCUGUUCCUACAAUUACCAGGAGGAUUCUAGAGAGGAGAUGGAGGGAGUUGUCUAAUGGAGUGAGUGGUUAGGUAAAAUGAUUGCCAUAGGGUUUACAUGACUGACCAAAAUGGUCAUUCAGGUAAUGUCAGAUUCAAUCCUUGGAAACAAUUGAACUUUCUUUUUGGCUUGUUGACUUUUACUUGUGGAGGAAACAUUCAUGGAAAUCUGAAAACAUGCAGUUGUUUCCCACUUCCCUUUCUCAUUUCAGUCCUUAGCCCAUAUGCUGGGUAGUGGGAGGCCUGCUGGGCAGACCCCAAGGUCAGGCUUAGGUAGGUUCCCUGGCCCCACACUUUUUCUCCACAGCCUCUCCAGUGCACACACAGUACCUGUUGGAUGGAGGUGACCUUGCGGUCUGCAUCUCACCCUGGAAGCCCAUCCCAUCCUGGCCGCAGUGAGGGAGCUCCAACACAGCCCUGGGCCGGCCCUACUUGCAUCGGUGGGUCUGGGGACAUGAUUGUGACCCCGAUUCCUGCAACAACCCCAGGCAGCUGGCAACCUACUCUGCCAGUGAUGGGAAGUUGGCUGCUGACUCUGUUCUGGGCCCGCUGUCCACUUCCAGGUUUCCUCUGAGUCUCCUAUGUUCCUGUGUCUCUGGUUCUUUCAUUGCCUCCAGGAAAUAAAGCCGCCAUAGAUCUUUAUUCUCCA